CCGACACAGGUGGGUGAGGAGAGUAUCCUAAGGCUAGCGAGAGAACUGUUGUUAAGGAACUCGGCAAAAUGACCCCGUAACUUAGGGAUAAGGGGUGCCACCAUCAGGUGGCCGCAGAGAAUAGGCCCAAGCGACUGUUUACCAAAAACAUAGGUUUCUGCUAAGUCGCAAGACGAUGUAUAGGAGCUGACGCCUGCCCGGUGCUGGAAGGUUAAGGGGAUCUGUUAGAGCAAUCGAAGCAGUGAACUUAAGCCCCAGUAAACGGCGGCCGUAACUAUAACGGUCCUAAGGUAGCGAAAUUCCUUGUCGGGUAAGUUCCGACCCGCACGAAAGGCGUAACGAUUUGGGCACUGUCUCAACAACAGACUCGGUGAAAUUGUAAUUCCGGUGAAGAUGCCGGAUACCUGCGACAGGACGGAAAGACCCCAUGGAGCUUUACUGUAGCUUGACAUUGGGUCUUGGUACUACAUGUACAGGAUAGGUGGGAGGCUUUGAAACCAGGACGCCAGUUUUGGCGGAGCCAUCCUUGGGAUACCACCCUUGUAGUACUGGGACUCUAACCAUAGGCCAUGAAUCUGGUCUUGGGACACUGUCAGGUGGGCAGUUUGACUGGGGCGGUCGCCUCCCAAAAGGUAACGGAGGCGCUCAAAGGUUCUCUCAGUACGGUCGGAAAUCGUACGUAGAGUGUAAAGGCAAAAGAGAGCUUGAUUGCAAGACAUACAGGUCGAGCAAGGAUGAAAAUCGGACUUAGUGAUCCGGUGGUUCUGCGUGGAAGGGCCAUCGCUCAACGGAUAAAAGCUACCCUGGGGAUAACAGGCUUAUCUCCCCCAAGAGUCCACAUCGACGGGGAGGUUUGGCACCUCGAUGUCGGCUCAUCACAUCCUGGGGCUGUAGUAGGUCCCAAGGGUUGGGCUGUUCGCCCAUUAAAGUGGUACGCGAGCUGGGUUCAGAACGUCGUGAGACAGUUCGGUCCCUAUCCGUCGCAGGCGUAGGAAAUUUGAGAAGACCUGUCCUUAGUACGAGAGGACCGGGAUGGACGUACCUCUGGUGUACCAGUUGUCCUGCCAAGGGCAUGGCUGGGUAGCUAUGUACGGAAUGGAUAAGCGCUGAAAGCAUCUAAGCGCGAAGCCAACUUCAAGAUAAGAUUUCCCACCGCAAGGGUAAGACCCCAGAAAGACUAUCUGGUUGAUAGGUCGAAGGUGUAAGUGCAGCAAUGUAUUUAGCUUAUCGAUACUAAUAG
rnacentral:rRNA from 1 species